GUUCUCAUGGUGUAGUGGUUAUCACAUCCGCCUAACACGCGGAAGGUCCCAGGUUCGAAACCUGGUGGGAAAG
rnacentral:tRNA from 13 species